GGGGCCUGCUGUCCCCUCCCCACCCGCAGGCGGAGCCCCAGCUGCUCUAAGCCCUCCUUUUCCCCUCGUGCAUAGGUGUCACCAAGAGUGACCUACACGCGGAUGAGCCCAUGGCCGGUAAGUACAAGCAGGGAGCCAUCCUUGGUGUCUGCCCCCGGAACAGCGAGCUCCUUGCAGGCUUCCUCCGCUUUUUCUGCUCACCAGCUCCAUUCUUCACCAGUUCCCUCAGUGUUCGUAGGCCCGGGACAGUGAGCCACAAGCCUCUGUCGUCUGCAGUGCUGUGUCAGGAAUGCUGUCCAGUAGCUGUCUGCCCGUGGGCAGGAGGCUGCAGGGGGAACUCUGGCCCUAGUGGCAAAAAAACAACCCAUGCCCCAACUCUGCUGUGUGACUGUGGAGAGUCUCCUGACUUCUCUGAGCCCCAGUUUUCUUAAGAGGGGCUGUUAAUAAUGUCCCACCUCCCCAGGACUAAAUGAAAUGUGUGUGAUAGCACUUUGAGAAGUAGGAAGCUGUAUGAGGUAAAGAGUGUGCCUCAGUUACUGGGCACCAGACCGUGGCUUCACCUUGCAUGGCUGCCUCUCUGUUUUCGAGGCCAGUGGUCAGAUACCUUCCCUGUCCCUUUGGUUUUCCUUUUGAAAUAUCUAACUUUAAAAAAAAAAAUUUUUUUUUAAUGUUUUUAAUUUUGAGACAGAGCAUGAGCAGGGGAGAGGCAGAGAGAGAGGGAGACACAGAAUCUGAAGCAGGCUCCAGGCUCUGAGCUGUCAGCACAGAGCCCGACGCGGGGCUAGAACUCAUGGACUGUGAGAUCGUGACCUGAGCUGAAGUCGGAGGCUUAACUGACUGAGCCACCCAGGCGCCCCUAACUUUUUUUUUAAAACCUUGUAAUAGCUUCUGGCCAAGAAACCUCAUGCCACCCACCUGAUUCCUUCCCUCAAACAGCCCUCUCAUUAAGUCAUUCCACUGUUUGGAAACCUUCAAUAUCUUAUUUCUCGUCUUAUCAUGGUCAUACCCAACCGACCCCUCGCUCCCACCCCCAGCUUUUCAGGCCUUGUCUGACCUCCCCAAAUCUUUGGUUCUUCUCCAGUCAUCUUGGUCUAUCCACCACACGUGUGAGUGUCAGGCUUAUUCCCACUGCUGUACCUUUAAUGCCACUUAGUCUCCACACCUGGCCUAUCCUGACUAGAAGCUGGAGUGGGCAGCUCCCUGCCCUCCUGCCAUCCAUCCCAUCCACCUCCAAAGCCCAGUGCAAGAGUCAGCUCUUUCUUGAGAACUUGCCUGAUCACAUCAGCCCGUAUUCAUCACCUUCUCCAAAUUCAUGUAAUGCUUACAACUUCUCUCUUACAACUUAAUGGCUAAUCACUUUGAGUUCUAUUAGUUCUUUCAUUUGCAUUAGUUCUAUUGCCCUGAGUUUCCUCUACAUUUCCCGCAAGCAGAGUCCAGGUGUUGUCUUUUGGCAUCUCCUGUAACAUCUGGCACAGUGUGGAGCAUUAGGUCAGCACAAUCAAAAAUAAUUAGCAAUUGAUGAAGUGUUUGCAUCAUGGAACCGUGCACCUGCUGCCUGAGUGCCCUGCAUUUGGAUGUUUGGGGAAGAUUGAAUAUAUAGGUAGAUCAGUAGAUAGGAGACCUGUUCUCCAUUUGGGGGAUGCUUACAGUCUAGACUGGGGACCCGUAGAGCCACUGUCACAGGUGCAGAGAGAUACAGCUGAAGAGUGUGUUCUGACAGCGUUAACCAGGCUUGCUGUCAUGGAAGCUGUGAGCUUUGAGGUGUGGCAUUUGAGGGAGAGGAGGGGUGAAAAUGCUCAGAGGCAGAAGGGAAUGCUCACCAGUACCCAGGGCUCUUUGUCCUUUCCUGAGCCCUGAAGGUGGGUCAUCUGGCUGCCUUGGAAAUCCCUUUAAUAAAGCUGGUCUCCAGGACGGGAGAACUUGGGAUUCUCAGAGAGUCAUCUGGCCUGGCUUAAUGUCUCCAUGCCAUUACUCCAGGCUGAGGAUGUCACCUUCCUCUACCACCCCUGUGCCCACCCUUGGCUGAAGCUCCAGCUUGCCCUCCUGGCCCACGUUUGUGUGGCCCAGCCCUCACUGGCCCCGGACUCCAGCCUUACUCAGGAGCGGGUAAGCAGUUGAUGAAAGGUCGUUGUUUCGCACUGGCAGAGGCUGCAGCCCCAUGUGCAGGAAAGGAAAAUUCAGGGACUUCCUCUUGCUGGCUCCCCACCUUCAACUUAGUUCUCCUUUCCUAGCCCUUGGUGCUGGCAGCAUGUGGGGUGGUGCUGGAGAUGGCAUGGAUAGAGCCAGCCUGGGCUGCCCACUGGCUGAAGAGGCGGCGGCGGCGGAGGAGGAGGCUGAGGAAGGAGAAGGCAUGGUUCUGCUCUGACGGUCUUUCUGGGUCUUCUCCCUUGGUGCCAAGACCAGGUAGAGGGAGGCUGUGCCGGAGAGGGUGUCUGCAGGUGAGGGGUGCUGGGCUUGGUUGGUGGUGGGGUCCUUGGGUUAUCUGGGCAGGAAAAGGGUGACUGCUGUCUCUCUCCCCAAAGGCCCCAGCUUUGGCUUUUACCCUGCGGAGC
rnacentral:lncRNA from 1 species